rnacentral:rRNA from 1 species
AACGAACGCUGGCGGCGUGGAUAAGACAUGCAAGUCGGACGAGAUUUUCCGUUGUAGCAAUACGAUGGAAAGUCUAGUGGCGAACGGGUGCUUAACACGUGGGCAAUCUGUCUUAAAGUGGGGGAUAGCUCGGCGAAAGCCGAAUUAAUACCGCAUGUGAUUAGAGUGGACAUCCAUUCAAAAUUAAAGGUGGCGCAAGCUACCGCUUUUUGAGGAGCCCGCGGCCUAUCAGCUUGUUGGUGAGGUAACGGCUCACCAAGGCUUUGACGGGUAGCUGGUCUGAGAGGACGACCAGCCACACUGGGACUGAGACACGGCCCAGACACCUACGGGUGGCAGCAGUCGAGAAUUUUUCUCAAUGGCGGAAACCCUGAAGGAGCGACGCCGCGUGGAGGAUGAAGGUCUUCGGAUUGUAAACUCCUGUCAUUGGGGAACAAGUCGCUUACGUUAACUGCGUGAGCGUUGAUAGUACCCGAAGAGGAAGAGACGGCUAACUCUGUGCCAGCAGCCGCGGUAAUACAGAGGUCUCAAGCGUUGUUCGGAUUCAUUGGGCGUAAAGGGUGCGUAGGCGGCGCGGUAAGUCGGGUGUGAAAUCUUGGAGCUUAACUCCGAAACUGCAUUCGAUACUGCCGUGCUUGAGGACUGGAGAGGAGACUGGAAUUUACGGUGUAGCGGUGAAAUGCGUAGAUAUCGUAAGGAAGACCAGUGGCGAAGGCGGGUCUCUGGACAGUUCCUGACGCUGAGGCACGAAGGUCAGGGGAGCAAACGGGAUUAGAUACCCCGGUAGUCCUGACAGUAAACGGUGCACGUUUGGUGUGGGAGGAUUCGACCCCUUCUGCGCCGGAGCUAACGCGUUAAACGUGCCGCCUGGGAGUACGGUCGCAAGAUUAAAACUCAAAGAAAUUGACGGGGGCCCGCACAAGCGGUGGAGUAUGUGGCUCAAUUCGAUGCAACGCGAAGAACCUUACCUGGCCUUGACAUGCAUCUCUAAACUGGUGAAAGCC